rnacentral:rRNA from 1 species
CACGUAGGAGGCGAGCGUUGUCCGGAAUCAUUGGGCGUAAAGAGCGCGCAGGCGGCCCGGCAAGUCGGGUGUGAAAUCCCGGGGCUCAACCCCGGGACUGCAUUCGAUACUGUCGGGCUAGAGGUAGGUAGGGGAGAUCGGAAUUCCUGGUGUAGCGGUGAAAUGCGCAGAUAUCAGGAGGAGCACCGGUGGCGAAGGCGGAUCUCUGGGCCUUACCUGACGCUGAGACGCGAAAGCGUGGGGAGCAAACAGG